UACAGAGGUCUCAAGCGUUGUUCGGAUUCAUUGGGCGUAAAGGGCGCGUAGGUGGCGUCGUAAGUCAGGUGUGAAAUUUCGGAGCUUAACUCCGAAACUGCAUUUUGAUACUGCGGUGCUUGAGGACUGGAGAGGAGACUGGAAUUUACGGUGUAGCAGUGAAAUGCGUAGAGAUCGUAAGGAAGACCAGUGGCGAAGGCGGGUCUCUGGACAGUUCCUGACACUGAGG
rnacentral:rRNA from 1 species